UGGGCGGCCGCUCGUCUCCAUAGUUGGUUCACGCGUCAUGUGAGGAUAGGGUGGCUCCAAAAAUAUCUCCUGCAGGCUGGUCGUGGAGGAGAGAGAACCAACCUAAUCCCCUUACCAAAUCCCUUCCGCUCGUGCCGCCCGCAGCAGCCGAAGGUCGACGCCGCCUAGCUCCCUCUCCUCCUCUCCCCUCGCGCCCCCAUCCCGGCAGCCACCUUGCACCACUAGCCCCACCUCAGUAGGAGCAGCCGGAGGUCAGGGUCGGCGCAGAGGAACCGCAGGAGGGCCGGCCGCUGCAUCGAGCCGUUGUGGUUGAGGUUAGCGUGCCGGCGUCGCCGCAAGGGAGCACUGGCUGCCGCUCACGCCACCAUGGAUUCGCCGAUCUAAGCGAUGCCGAAGUCGCCGGCGUCGCCACGAGGGGCACAGGCGGCCGCUCGCCAUGCCGCUUCGUGCUUCUCCUUCCAUCCUCACUCGAUGCGGCGGUUGGAGUUCUGAAGCCUCCAUCUCCGUCUCCUUUUCGUCCCGCACAGCAGCUAGCCAAGCUCUGCAUCAUCCUCCUUCAUCCUCACCCACUUCGUCACUCAGAAGAAAGAAAGAGGACGACUUGCCCUGGCACCACUGCUGACCUCCUCCUCCUCUAUGCUGAACUGGAGGUUACAUGAGGCCAUCGUUGCAGAGGUUGAUGUCGGUAUCGAAUUUGAGGCUGCGCUUCUUAUUCUUGGGUGCUGAACAUGAGAAGCAUGGACUUGGUUCCACCUGACCUGGUAGCAUUUGCACCACUUGCAGUAGGAUGCACAAGCUCUAGGCAAAGCGGCAAGGUUUUCAGGCAUUGGUUUAAGAUUCUCAUGGACAGAGAGGCAAGGAGGUUGUCGCCGGCGUCAAUGCUCCAACAUGAGCCCCUUGACACUGUUGCGCGUGGAACUCAAUGCCGCCAUGCAAAUUAUACCGAUUUUAUUUAGGGACACGCUCAUGUGAGCUAUGCCCUCUUACUCAUGCCAUGAGUUGUCGCUGUUAUCGUCGUCAUCAUCAUGAUGAUCGUACUAUAGGUAUUUGAUUUCUUUACGCUGUGUUACCAACUCCUGUCCGUGCCAGCUUCAAGUGGCUCAAGGUCAAGCUCUCUGAUGUCCGCUAAGCUGUCCACGGUAGCUUUGAGUGGCUCAAGGCCAAGCUCUUUGACGUCUUCUAAGCUAGCCUCUGAACUCUGCUCUCAAUCUCUCCAAUCCUCCAGAGGCUCUCUCUAUACUUAUGUGUACUACUACUGCUACUGCCAAUGAUCACUAAACUGGUGUGUGUAGUACUACUGUUGCUGUACAUGCCGCCAAAGCAUUUCACCACUUGCAGAUUACGAUGGUGGUUCGCCAGAGAACAGACUGGAGCAAGGAUGCCGGUCUGCUGGGGGUGGUGAAGGUUCAGGAGGAGUGCAUCGUCGCCACCUCGUGGAGGAGCGCUAGCAGCUGCUCCGUCGGGAUGAGCGCCUUCACCGUCACCAGAUGGCCAUUCUUGCAUCGACAUGGCUGCACGAGCGUUCGGUCACACGAUCAAGUUUCUUCCCUCUUUCUCUUGCUUAGGCAUCAACACAUAUGCAUAUUUUUUAUUACCUUUUUCUCUGCAAAUCAGUACACGGGAGACACGGAUGCCUUGACAGAACGGCAAGGCUGAGCUGCAACUGCUGUAAAGAAAUAUCAACUUUCAGCUGAUAUGUGGAUUUUUUGAUUUUUAGAUACGGUUGUCUUCAUCUUUCUGCUAUGUCCUGGUUUCCCUAGACUAAUGUACACCAUCGUAGUUUAAUUCUUUUUUAAUUUAUAAUAGCAGUUUUUAGUUUUGUAUCUGGGUCAAUUUGAUUUGAUUCAAAUAGUUACUUCAAAUAACUGCAACAUUGAACUAUUUUGCUUUGAACUGCUGUCUUCUCCUCUGUUAAGUUGGUAAUACCAAACUUGCGUAUCAUUUUGGCUCAUUGGUGUAGCAGGCCAUGGCCCUUUGGUCUAAAAAUUAGGUUCUGAAUAGUGAAGUGACUCAACAUACGUGAAGAUUUCCAGACAUGAACUUCCAGUUUAUCUAAUAAUCUCUUAGCACCCAAAUUCUUCUGCUCUUAAUGAAAUGUUGAUAUAUGAAAGUCAGUUUAGGCACACACAUAUUAAUUUCCAGUUAUUCAUGAUUGCUACUUCCAACCUGUUUCGCAUGCUCCAGUUUAUGGUGAUUCCUAAAUGUCUCUGUUCUCCUUUUUAGGGGUAUGGCAAGAGAUGCAUGGUUACAUAAGGAUAGUGCCCUUCAGAGAUACGGAUAUUCCAACAUGUUGAUAAACAAACUGAAAGUUUCCGGUGACUGUAAUUUUCUAACUUAUAAUUAGAAAGUUAAUGCAUACUGAACCUAUAUUAGAUUUUCCAAUGAUGUACUACGGCCGUCUAUUGUAUGGUCGAUAACUCAUAUUACAUACUGUCUUGGAUCUUUUACUGGUUAUUAGUUGUUGGAUGGUCGAGUUUACCAGUAGAUUUUUGUUUACCUUGAUGUUCUAUUGUCACCAUCUGUUUGACCUUUCUUAUUUGUUUGCUAUCUAUAUUUCCUUACAAACUGAAUGCUCCUGAAACAUCUCUCCCACAUAUGCGACCAUCGGUGUGAACCCCCCAGACCUAGGGAAGGAUGGUGGCAAGAGGAUGGGCCUGAAAUUCGACUGGGUUAAGUGAGCUCCGAUUGUUCCCUUUUUUCAUUUUCGAGUGUAUUUGUUCAGUUAUUAUAUUCACCUGGAUUGUUUUUCUUUUUGGCAUAUUGCUGUGUCUGCUGCACCAACUCCAGAAGUACCAUCUUUUUAGGAGAGAAGUAACAUUGUUUGUCCGUCCCUUUAUGUUAAUCUAUUAUUCAUGGCCAGGCAUUUUAAAGACUAAACCAAAAUAAAUUUGGGGUGAUUCAGCCAUAUGGUCCUUAUCUUUCCAUGAGGUGGUACAUGUGUAUAGUUGGGGAUAUUCACAAGGUAAACAAAAAGAAAGAAAACUGAAACUAUGUGCUGUUGCGCUAUUAUGCUUGUUGAUGUCAACUCUCAAGGAACAUUCACUCAUUUUACCUCCCUACCUUUCUCCCUUGGAGAACCAAAUGACAGAAUAAUAGUAUUAGAUGCUACAAGUGUGCGAAAUGUGCUUCAUAAGUAUUUGCCACGAAUAUGCUUUUUUCUCCCCUUGCCUUGCAAGACCACAUUACAUUAUACAACUGCAUUAACGUCAUGCAACUAUACUUCUGUUCUAUAGGUACUGGCUUUCCAAGUUUCCAUUGGGUUACAACCACUAGAUCCUAUACUUCUGUUCUACCUAUAACACAUAUGUGCCUAUACGUCACCAUCUCACGAUUGUUUGUCUGUGGUUACCAAUUUUGAUAUGGUGGUUGCAUCUGUGCCAUAUCACAUACAUCAGUUCCCCCUCAAGAAUUUGAAAUUUUUGCAAAUGUUUUAUCCAAUACAGAUUGCUUCUAUAGUGCAGGGAUAUUAAAAAGAGCAAGUAGCAGUACAAUGAGUGUCCAGGAUUUUACCUGCUUGCUGGCAUGUCUGUUGUGCUGUCCUGAACUUCUGCUCUUUGGGCUCAUUUGCAGUGUUGCAUUGUUGAUCAAUUCAGAUAAUGGCCAAACCAAGAAUGAUGAUUAUGCUUCACCAUCCUUUGAUGAUCAAAGGUGAGCAUCAUGCAUAUGUAUAUAUUUGUGUCUCUUGAAAAUCAAACCUUGCAUUUUUACUUAAAUUUGUGCCAAUGGUCUCUCUACCCUCUGAGGAUGGAUGUGGCCACUUAAGUUCUUAUAAAUUCAGUUCUUUAUAAUUUGCCACACAUUAGUUAGUCUUUUACAAUUUGUCACACAUUAGACUGGUUCCUUUAUAAUUUGCCCUAUAUCUCCUUUUACAGAUCUAUUUAUUUGUUUAACUCCAAAAUACUUAUGAAAUACAAUACAUUAUACCUGCCUGGACCGAACUUGGUGGAUCGAUCUCCCGAAUCGCUGUAUCCCAAAAUCGAUUGUUUUCCUCCAUCGCACUAGAAACAGAGGAGCCGUCCGCCGGCCACCACGGAUGGCGUGACGACCACGAACGGCGGAGGAGGUGCAGAGCUGCCUCCCGCCGGCCAUACCGACGUUGAGGCUUGCUAGCUUGCAUUGUAUGUCUGCCGAGCUGCACUGGUAGUUCCUUCUAGGGUCGCCUCAGGUGCAGCGUGUUGAAGCUAAUUCAGUGUAAUUGCAACUCACGAAUGAGCUUUCUAUGAGCCUCUUCAUAGAUUUUCUCGGCCACUGAAGAGAAGAGCGGUUGUACUAAGAGGAAGAGAGAACGAAAUUAUCAAGGAAGGAUAAAAAAGGCAACCAGCAAGGAUCAGAUUUAAGAAACGGCAAGGCGGCUGGGAUCUGAUUUCGGAUUGAGUCAUCGACAUGGUAUCCAGUCAUCUGUUGUCAGAUACCAGCGAUUUGGGGAUCGGUCGACGGUUCGGUCUAGGCGGGUACUAUUUCACAGGUAUUUCAGAGUUUUAGAAAAUGAAUGGACGUGUUAAAGGAGGUACAGGGCAAAUUAUAAAGGAAUCCGUUUGAUGUGUGGCAAAUAGUAAAAGGCGAAAUAAUAUGUGGCAAAUUAUAAAGGUUCUAACUAAUGUGUGGCAAAUUAUAAAAUAUCCCAAUGAUCUCUUUGCACUUUGAGGAUGGAUGUGGUUAUCGGCUUUGCUUUUCAAAUAAACAUUAGAUUAAAAAUGAUUGCUUGCAUUUUUACCUAAGAGGACUAUCAAAGAAGGAAGUUUCUUUACAAACAAACGUCCAUUCAAAGUGAUGUUUUCCCACCUAUGUGUUCACUCAUUUUCGUAGAAGACUUACAUGCGAUGAUUUGUUAAGUAUGUCGUAGUGAUAAAAAAAAAUUCACAUGCACAUAGCCUUGCAAUCUUCUUUUGCUCUACAUCUGAACAGAAUCCAUCAGAACUACUUUCCUGAUGACCAGGAUCAAUUUGCUUUUGAAUGUUCGUGCUUCUUGCUGCAUAUGGUGCUCACAUGUUUGUCUAUCAACAAUGGUGAACCUGAUCCGAUCAUCUGACCGUUAUGUGCAAGCUUGACUAAAUUUCGUAGAUUGUACCUAGCAAUUCCAUCAGCUAUGUAUAUAAUACUUAGACAAUAAUAGUAACUCCAAAGUGCAGUUACAUGUACAAUCGUAAUUCAUAUGCUAUGACAUUGGAGUUAUAUGCCUUCCAUUAGAGAUAUUCACAAGAUUUUGUCAGAUAUACUAACUUUGAAAUGCAGUUACAUGUCAAAUUAACGUUUUACGGA